GGACCAGCUCGGUCAUGAACGAGUUGCCCUCCGGGGCGGGAUACAGAAUCUGAGGAGAGUUGUCAUUCACAUCCGAGAUGAACACACUCACGGUCACGUUGCUGCUCAGAGGAGGAGAACCGUUGUCUCUCGCCAUCACCUGCACUUUGAAACUCCGAAACUGUUCAUAAUCAAACGACCUCACAGCGUGGAUCACACCCGUGUCUCCGUUCACAGACACAUACGAGGACACCGGGGCACCGUUCACCUCACCAGAUAACAGAGAAUAAAUCACGGUACCGUUCUGUCUCCAGUCGGGGUCUCGAGCACUGACGGAACAUAAAGUGGAGCCAGGUUUGUUGUUCUCACUCACAUAUGCGCUGUACGACUGUUCCUCAAACACAGGUGGGUUGUCAUUGAUGUCAGCUACAGAUAACUGAACACUUUUAGACGAGGACAGAGGAGGAGAGC